UUAUCCGGAUUCACUGGGUUUAAAGGGUGCGUAGGCGGGCAGGUAAGUCCGUGGUGAAAUCUCUGAGCUUAACUCAGAAACUGCCAUGGAUACUAUUUGUCUUGAAUGUUGUGGAGGUAAGCGGAAUAUGUCAUGUAGCGGUGAAAUGCUUAGAUAUGACAUAGAACACCAAUUGCGAAGGCAGCUUACUACACAAAUAUUGACGCUGAGGCACGAAAGCGUGGGGAUCAAACAGGAUUAGAUACCCUGGUAGUCCACGCCCUAAACGAUGAUUACUCGACAUCAGCGAUACACUGUUGGUGUCUGAGCGAAAGCAUUAAGUAAUCCACCUGGGAAGUACGAUCGCAAGAUUGAAACUCAAA
rnacentral:rRNA from 1 species